UGUUUCUGAUUUUAUGGAUUGUACCCAUCAACUUGAUGAAGGCAGAGGUGGUGCAGUCUCGCUUUUGGCUCACAGAAAAAAAUAGUAUGAACACAAAAUAAGUUUUAUCGUGUCAUUUGUUCUUAUGAAUGGGACAAGCUCACCAUUUUGAUGCAUGCAUGAAGAAAGAGAAUAUAUGCCACGGCAGUCUGCUCUCAACAACCUGGAUUAUUUUUACCUCAUGUUUCCACAAACUGAUGUCUAUGAAGUUCUACAGCCUUAUAAGUGGCAUAAACAAACACUGUCAAAAAAAAAAAAAAAUGCCUUCACAAAAAAGAAGACGGAGAGGGAAAGAGUGAAGGGAGGCUGGUAAAGACAGUUCAACAUUGCAAACAUGAAUACAAAACUCCAGCAAGUCAGCAGUCUGGCAGAAAUGAUGGGUGGUUCCAAAAUACAUGGUCACAUGACAGUAAAAGUGUACAGUUGCCAAGAUGCAGGGGGUAUGUCAACUUACA
ensembl:lncRNA